UGGCAGCUCCGAUCAACCCCUCCGAUAUCAACCGCAUUGAAGGUGUAUACCCUGUGAGGCCGGAAGUACCGGCAGUUGGAGGAUAUGAGGGAGUUGGAGAAGUGCAUUCAGUUGGCUCCGCCGUUCAGGGUCUUUCACCUGGUGAUUGGGUUAUCCCAUCUCCUCCUUCUUCUGGGACAUGGCAGACUUACGUUGUGAAAGAUCAGAGUGUUUGGCACAAAAUCGACAAGGAAGUACCCAUGGAAUAUGCUGCUACUGUUACGGUUAAUCCUUUGACUGCUCUGAGAAUGCUGG
rnacentral:misc_RNA from 1 species